GACGAACGCUGGCGGCGUGCUUAACACAUGCAAGUCGAACGAAGUGGCGAACGGGUGAGUAAUACGUGAGUAACCUGCCCUCCUUUUUGGGAUAAGCCUUGUAAACGGGGUCUAAUACCGAAUAAAGGGGGUUGGUCUCACGGCCUAUCAGCGUGUUGGUGGGGUGAUGUCCUACCAAGGCGGUGACGGGUAGCCGGCCUCAGAGGGUAACCGGCGACACUGGAACUGUGUUACGUCCCCGAAUCCUACGUGAGGCAGGAGUAGGGAGUAGUGCACAAGGGGCGAAAGCCUGAUGCAGCGACACCGCGUGGGGGAUGAAGGCUUGCGGGUUGUAAACCUCGUUCGCUAUCGAACGAGUAGGUGGAGAAGAAGCGCCGGCUAACUACAUGCCAGCAGCCGCGGUAAUUC
rnacentral:rRNA from 1 species